GAGUUUGAUCCUGGCUCAGAUUGAACGCUGGCGGCAUGCUUUACACAUGCAAGUCGAACGGCAGCACGAGUGCUUGCACUUGGUGGCGAGUGGCGAACGGGUGAGUAAUGCAUUGGAACGUGCCUUGUAUUGGGGGAUAACUGAGCGAAAGCUUAGCUAAUACCGCAUACGCCCUGAUGGGGAAAGCUGGGGAUCGUUUGACCUGGCGAUAUAAGAGCGGCCAAUGUCUGAUUAGCUAGUUGGUGAGGUAAAGGCUUACCAAGGCGACGAUCAGUAGCGGGUCUGAGAGGAUGAUCCGCCACACUGGGACUGAGAGACGGCCCAGACUCCUACGGGAGGCAGCAGUGGGGAAUUUUGGACAAUGGGGGGAACCCUGAUCCAGCCAUGCCGCGUGUCUGAAGAAGGCCUUCGGGUUGUAAAGGACUUUUGUUGGGGAGCAAAGGUAUCUGGUUAAGAGCUGGAGAUUAUGAGA
rnacentral:rRNA from 1 species